UCUGUCACCGCCCCCGAGCUGCAUGCUGCAGCGAAGUGUACUUGACUGGUCGCAGCUGUACGCGGCAAGGGGUCCUUCAGGCGCGCUUAGGACGCCUCGCGGCUCCCAGCUCUGAUGAAUAUUUGACGACACCCAGAUUGCAACACGUGGAGAGUUUCUUGGUGGGACUUUUGAUGAGAUGAGAAAAUAACAUCAAAGUCGAGCAGAAUAUCAUCACGAAGCAGCUGCAGACGGCAACAACAGGCGAAAUGCUAACAGGGAAUCAAAAGAGCUUUUAACAUCCAAUAAAAGCCGAGGCCAUCAUGAGGUGACUGAACAGACACUCAUCAAAACCACAACAAUUUGGAAUCUUAUUCUGCGGUAUUUGUUGAACGAACCAGGUUUCACAAACUGCAAGGAAGAACAGAACCAGGGGUGGGGGAAACCGGAGCACUCGGAGAAAACCCACGCAAGCACGAGGAGAACAUGCAAAUUCUGCACAGAAAGUCCCCAGAUCUGAACCGGGCAUCGAACCCAGGACCUUCUUGCUGUGAGGCGUCGUGCUAACCACUGAGCGAGCGUGCUGCAUUAACUUGGAAACAGCACCUCUGUGUCGUUUUUUUCCACCGGGGGUCCGGGUCGAGUCGAAGUCUGAAGUCCCCUGCAGCUUCACUUUGUCCUCAUCAGGUGUCGAUGUGAGGAUGGGCCUCAGUUCUCUGUCGCCUGGUUCAGCUGAGCCUCGUCCCGCUCCAGCCGAAAGAGAGCAGAGGCCGUAGAAGAGCUCCUUCCUUGCAGG